rnacentral:rRNA from 1 species
CACUCUACGGGAGGCAGCAGUGGGGAAUUUUGGACAAUGGGCGAAAGCCUGAUCCAGCAAUGCCGCGUGUGUGAAGAAGGCCUUCGGGUUGUAAAGCACUUUUGUCCGGAAAGAAAUCCUUGGCUCUAAUACAGUCGGGGGAUGACGGUACCGGAAGAAUAAGCACCGGCUAACUACGUGCCAGCAGCCGCGGUAAUACGUAGGGUGCGAGCGUUAAUCGGAAUUACUGGGCGUAAAGCGUGCGCAGGCGGUUUGCUAAGACCGAUGUGAAAUCCCCGGGCUCAACCUGGGAACUGCAUUGGUGACUGGCAGGCUAGAGUAUGGCAGAGGGGGGUAGAAUUCCACGUGUAGCAGUGAAAUGCGUAGAGAUGUGGAGGAAUACCGAUGGCGAAGGCAGCCCCCUGGGCCAAUACUGACGCUCAUGCACGAAAGCGUGGGGAGCAAACAGGAUUAGAUACCCUUGUAGUCCC